rnacentral:tmRNA from 1 species
GGGGGCGUUUUGGAUUCGACGGGGAUUGUUCGAGCAUGCACGGCGGGUCGUGGGGCUGCGGGGCCACGUUAAAAACGCAGACCUAAGUUUAACUGGCAAAGCUAAGAGCUUUACCUCAAACAGCAACCUCGCCCUAGCUGCUUAAUUGUAGUUAGGCCGUCAUCGUGUCUGUCGCCCGUGCAGACUUGGUGACGUCAACUUAGCGGGAUAGUCGGGGGCACGCGCUCGUGGGCCACCGGCGAAACUUAGCGAGCUGACCAUCUCGUAAGCGCGUGUGUCCGCGUGCGAAUGGGACAUUCAAAAGAUGCACUACACCCGUAGAUGUUCAUGUAGCGAGGUCUUCGGACGCGGGUUCGACUCCCGUCGCCUCCACCA